rnacentral:rRNA from 1 species
AUUGAACGCUGGCGGCAUGCUUUACACAUGCAAGUCGAACGGCAGCGCAGUCUUCGGCCUCGCUUCCGGGGGCGAACUGGUGGGUAAUGCAUCGGAACAUGCCCAUUUGUGUGGUCUAGCGCGACGACAGCCGGAUUCAUACCGCAUUCGACCUUAGGAUGUACGCGGGGGAGCAAAAGACCUCGCGCUAUUGGACCAGCCGAUGUCGGAUUAGCUAGUUGGUGGGGUAAAGGCUUACCAAGGCGACGAUCCGUAGCUGGUCUGAGAGGACGACCAGCCACACUGGGACUGAGACACGGCCCAGACUCCUACGGGAGGCAGCAGUGGGGAAUAUUGGACAAUGGGGGCAACCCUGAUCCAGCCAUGCCGCGUGCGGGAAGAAGGCCUUCGGGUUGUAAACCGCUUUUGUUCGGGAAGAAAUCCUGUGGGCUAAUACCCCGGGGGGAUGACGGUACCGGAAGAAUAAGCACCGGCUAACUACGUG